rnacentral:rRNA from 1 species
GACGGGGGAUGCAAGCGUUAUCCGGAAUCACUGGGCGUAAAGCGUCUGUAGGUGGUGAUGCAAGUCACUGGUGCAAAACUCUGGCUCAACCGGAGGAAAGCCAGUGAAACUGCAUGACUAGAGUGUGGGAGAGGUAGAAGGAAUUCCCUGAGUAGCGGUGAAAUGCGUAGAUACAGGGAAGAACACCGGAGGCGAAAGUGCUCUUCGGGAACACAACUGACACUGAGAGACGAAGGCUAGGGGAGCGAAUGGG